rnacentral:rRNA from 1 species
GGAUUAGAUACCCUGGUAGUCCACGCUGUAAACGCUGAGAACUAGUCGUUGGGGCUAUUAGAGCCUUAGUGACGCAGCUAACGCGAUAAGUUCUCCGCCUGGGGAGUACGGCCGCAAGGUUAAAACUCAAAUGAAUUGACGGGGGCCCGCACAAGCGGUGGAGCAUGUGGUUUAAUUCGACGCAACGCGAAGAACCUUACCUGGUCUUGACAUCCUGCGAACUUGCUAGAGAUAGCUUGGUGCCUUCGGGAGCGCAGUGACAGGUGCUGCAUGGCCGUCGUCAGCUCGUGCCG